AUUGAACGCUGGCGGCAUGCCUUACACAUGCAAGUCGAACGGCAGCACGGGAGCAAUCCUGGUGGCGAGUGGCGAACGGGUGAGUAAUGUAUCGGAACGUACCUUUCAGUGGGGGAUAACGUAGCGAAAGUUACGCUAAUACCGCAUAUUCUGUGAGCAGGAAAGCAGGGGAUCGCAAGACCUUGCGCUGAUUGAGCGGCCGAUAUCAGAUUAGCUAGUUGGUGAGGUAAAGGCUCACCAAGGCGACGAUCUGUAGCGGGUCUGAGAGGAUGAUCCGCCACACUGGAACUGAGACACGGUCCAGACUCCUACGGGAGGCAGCAGCGGGGAAUUUUGGACAAUGGGCGCAAGCCUGAUCCAGCCAUGCCGCGUGAGUGAAGAAGGCCUCGGUUGU
rnacentral:rRNA from 1 species